AUACAAGGAAGCGCUAAGAAGGAGGAUGUGGGGACAGUGUUCCUGCAGGCAUCCCGGGCUCUUCGGGCUGGAGAGCUCAGGAGACUGAGCGGUGUCAAGGCUGGAGUGAGCUAUAGGGCGCGCUGGGAGGAGACCUCUCUCCUGAAUUCCAGUUAUACAUCUUCAGGUGGACAUUUAAAUUUACUCCGUAAUCACCUCCAACUCAGUUAGGAUGGAACUUACCAUGCUUCAGACUUCCUUCUUUAAGAAGCUCAAAAAUUCUCCUAGUCACAAAGGGGCAGGAAAAAACUAAUAGACACUCAAUAGAGGAUUUCAGCGAUGGCUAUAGUCAUGAUGGAACAGAGUCAGCAAGAGAAGACCACUGCGUGUGAAUCAAUAAAGAGAAUAACCUGCAAGUUCCCCAGGCAUCCCUCAGCACACCUGAGUGCAAAAGGAUCAGGGACCUGCCCAGCCACACCUCAGCAGAGAGCAGCUAGGACUUGGAUAAUUAUUCACAGCUACAACUCCAUCAUUGCCAUGAUAUCACAUGAACCUCUCUGACAAUGAGAGGCCACCAUGGAGAGGAGUAGUGGAAGAGAGAAAGAAUCUGAAGGAAGCAGUUUUCAAAAGAGAUAGAGUUAUUGCAAAGUGAUUUUAUAAUAGGAAGACUAAGACACUUAAACUUUUAAGCUUUCUUGACCCCAGAUUCAUACUUAGGGUAAUGGGGUCUCAUGAGGAAGAUGAUUGGUUAUGAAAAUAAAGAAACAGGAUUUUUUCCCUUA